GACGAACGCUGGCGGCGUGCUUAACACAUGCAAGUCGAGCGGUAAGGCCCUUUCGGGGGUACACGAGCGGCGAACGGGUGAGUAACACGUGGGUGACCUGCCUCUAGCUCUGGGAUAAGCCCGGGAAACUGGGUCUAAUACUGGAUAUGACUCCAUGACGCAUGUUGUGGGGUGGAAAGCCUUGUGCGGCUAGAGAUGGGCCCGCGGCCUAUCAGCUUGUUGGUGGGGUGAUGGCCUACCAAGGCGACGACGGGUAGCCGGCCUGAGAGGGCGACCGGCCACACUGGGACUGAGACACGGCCCAGACUCCUACGGGAGGCAGCAGGUGGGGAAUCUUGCGCAAUGGGCGAAAGCCUGACGCAGCGACGCCGCGUAA
rnacentral:rRNA from 1 species